UAAUAAAUGAACAACUUAUUUCAAGGCAGCCGACUGAGGCAAAUGUCUUGAGAAUUGAACCACAUGAACUGUUUUAGAUCUUAUGAUGAAGUGUGAUGAACGGUGAUCAUUAGUGAUGGGUUGUUGUAAUGAAAGUGUACUAUUAUAAGAUGAAGACUUAAACGAUGUAUGCUUUGUUGGGUUCACUCAUUGAGGCAUAAAGCCACUUUAUCUGUAUUGAGUGCAUUGGAAUGUGAGGGACAGCUAGGUCAGAGAGGUUUCAGGUUACGGCUGCAGCUUCACACCUCGACGUGGAAGGGACAAUGGAGGAGGUGACCCUUUGGAGAAGAGGCCAAUGACAUUCAAAUGCACCAAAGAAGACACACCUCAAGAGGUUUCAAAGGACCAUGGCGGGGAAAAGACUGUUAGAUCUUCUCCUGCAGCCGCGUUGAUAAGUCACUUUAGACUUGCUCAGAGAAUUCUCUAUUUCGCGAAAUAUUCCACUGUUCGCUUAGUAUUUCACUUUGUAAUUGUAAUCCCUAUUACGUUGUUCAGUUAUUAAAUAACUUUUGAUUUUUGAAUUUAAACGAAUUGACUCAUUCGUGUCCUCGUUUCCGGCCGGGACGAGAACAAAGGAUUGAGUCCUCCCUCGAGAGCUUCCGAAACCUUAACAGUUGGCGCCCAACGUGGGGCUCUCGUUGGGGGAAGGCGUUGCUGAGAGGUUUGACUGCAGGUACCACGGGUACAAACAAGAGGACCCAUCCAAACAACGACAAAGAAGGAGAGGUUGCUGAUGGAGGACGUCAUCACAAUAGACAUUGUAUCCUGGUGAAGAAGGCUCCAGACCGCUAUGCAGACUACAUUCUCCCGGUAAGAAAUGAGCCACCUGCAGCCUCCCCUGUCCCACAGUGCCCACUACUGAGAAAAGCCAACGGUCAGAGCGAGUUUGUGCCCUGGAGUCAUCGGGACAUGGAAGCGCUGGAGAAGGGACUGCCGCCAUUGGGAGAAGGAGCUAACCCAUGGAUCCUGCUCUUUGAAAAAUACACAAUAGGUGAUAAGUUGGCACUUGGAGAUAUGAGGGCCUUAAUAGCCCGUCUAGAGGGAACAGUCAACCUAAGAGCCUUAGAAGCAAGAGCGGGAACCACCAACCAAGAGGAUGAGGCUCCAUUUGAUAAGGUCAGAGGAGUAUUUUGGGCCACAAUGCGAAACAUCUGGCCUACAAAGCCAAGUAUGUCCAUCCUGAUGGGUCUGAGUAUGAAACAAGGUGAAGACAUCUCUCAAUAUGUGAGGAGAGCAGAAACAGAAUGGCAUUUGGCCACAGGAGAAAGACACGACAAUAACAAAUCUACUGCAGUAAUCUGGCGACACACUGUGCAGCAAGGCUUGCCCCAGGCUGUUCAAACAGCGUUGGAGGGAGUAGUGGGACUGGACGACAUGGAUGAAAGCACAUGGAGAGACCAUCUAACCCACUUAUACAAAAUACAGAGAGCUGCGGAGACAAGGAGGCAAGAAGAACUGGGGACGAUGACGCAUCGACUCCUGAAGAUCCAACUGGCAGCAGCAGAUGCAGAAGCAACGAAAAAACAGAGAGUCAGGAAACAACUGUCGGUGAGAGAUGAACAACCUCAAUACCCUGUUCCUCCAGAAGCCACAUAUCCAACCGUAGGUCCAGCAGUGAGAAACCAAUUGAGAGGAUACCAGCAACCACCAAAGUACAGAGGGAGAGACAGAGGCCGUGAAUAUAACCGAGGGAGUGGAUUCUACCAAGGAGGGUACGGGGGUGAUGUGUGUUUUAUAUGUGGGCAGGUGGGACAUUGGUCAAGAACGUGUCCAGUGAAAUAUGAAGGGAACACACGGUCAAAUGCUCCUCCAAGAAGGUUUCCCAACUCACUGCAGCCCAGGCAGAACCAGAGGUUGGGCACACCCCAGCCUCCACCUCCCCAUAUGUGGUGACCACAGCAACAGAUGCCACUUGCUUUGAUGGAGACAAAGCAGACGAGCCCUAAACAACUACGGUUUACGACUCACAUUCCAGGAAGAGGAGACUAGAGAUUAUACACUGCUGAGAGUGUCAGCUGAAACUAGACUUAAACCCGUAGGGAAGAUUGAUUUUAAAAAGAGGAAAUCAGUCAUUGAAAAUUAAGAUACAAGGUUGUGUAAGAUUUAAAGGAGGAAUGAAGGUGAUAAGGAAUUAGGAGAGUUGUUGUAUAUAUUGUCAAUUUUUUGGAUUAAUGUUUGUAGUUUUUCGAGUUUUCUCCUGAAUUCAGAGAUGGGCGGUAAAUUGUUGAGUGCUGCUAUUGAGUGUAUAGUGCACGAUACACUUGAUACAGUAUCUUGAUGAUUGAAGCAAAUGUCUGAUCAAAGGAACAUUUAUAGCACCAGUACACGAAAUAUGGAAAUUUGUUACAGACGGUCAUCCUGUAAUGUUCAACAAGUAGUACACCCUUACAUUUGGAUACGCUAACCAUGAGAGGUUGGUGAUCUAUCAGUAAUGAAUGAAUGGAUUGGAUCAAACUAAGCAUGAGCUGAGUUUGUGUUUGCAGGUAACAGACACGUCUCCCACCCUCUGCUUUGCUUUUGGGCUGAAGAGCAAUAAAAGUGGAGAUUAACACUGGAGGGGGGUCUGGAACAGAUGGGUCUGAUGCUAAGUUGAUUUAUUAUCUCCUGGUACUUUUUGGGAUCAAGGGACUCACAAUCUUCAUUGUUGUUUUAUGACCCUGAAGGGUUUGGAGAACCUUUGUUGAUAUCACCGGGGUUUGAGGUUCACAUUCUGAUACAUUGAUUGAAGUUUUAGAGACUGAUACUGCAAAUGCUCGACCACUUGUGAAAGUGGUCACAAAGGUCAGCAAAUUGACUGUAAUGAUGGAGGCCUUCAGUGAGGCCGUCGAAUGGUUUAUUUUAAUGGGGAAGUAAGCAAAAAUGGGAAAACAGGUUGAAGAGUUAUGCAGUAAUGCACAGGUUUUCAAAGGUGAUGACACAUUAUGACAGAGCAAACAGGCUGAAGGUAAAAGGAGAAGAAAUUGACUGUGAGGGUGAGAAUGUGAGGUAACAUUUUUGUGUAAACUUGGUAUGAGCAGAUUGCUUUGAGGUUAGAAUGAACAAAGAGAACUUGGUUGGUCAAUUAGUUGAUGAAGACAUGGAACAGUCAUACACCAUGAGGGUGAGACCUACAAGGAAAACUCAAAGGGAUCAUUGAACGGGGACACGAAGGCAAUGUUGGUGUUAAUUUUUCAUGAGUUGACUAUGGGGGUCAAUAAUCAGUUAUGUCGAAGAUUCCAAAUUUCUAUAAAUAAAUGGCUCCUCAAAUCGGUUGGAAACAAGGCCGUUUGAGAAAGGCAAUUUUCCAAAACAAUGUGUAAAUACUCUAGGAGCAGAUAAAGAUAUGCAGAGGCAUUCUUUACGUCAACGCAUCACAUUUUUCAUUCAGCUGAGGCUCUAAUCCAAAGCGACUUGCAGGAAGUGAAUUUGAACAAGAGGGAACAGAACCAAAACAGCAAGAACAAAGAAGGGAUUUCUCCUUCUAAGAAAGCAACAUUCGUGAGUGUCAUCCAGGUGCUAAUUCUUCGGUUGUAGUAGUAGGUAGGUAUGUGUGUUUAUUAUGUUCAUUAGGGAAUUCCUUCCACCAUCAGGUGAACAUCAGGAGUCAGGACAAAUGAUGACUUUGUUGGGAGUUUAGCUCCCAGUAGGAGAAACAACAGGCAGAUGCUGAGAUGGGAGUGAAUUAGGGACGAGGAUAGAUUACAAAGGGGAUGCAGAGGUUGAAAGGUGAUGGCGACUCAUGGUCGAGGAGGGAGUGAGCAGACCUCCCUAAAACAACAACUGAUAAGAGGAGGAAUCCUGGGGAAGUGUCGGAGCCAUAAAAUCCAUCCACAGGUUGUAUUUCAUCUCAGAGUCACCCAACAGGUUUAAGAAUCACUCACGGUUGGUAUGGGGGGAAUUAUUUCACUAUGAUAAAUUUACUGACACAUUUUUCCUCGAAUACAUGUGCAUGGCAAUUGUUAACUAUGUUUUGCUUUUCAGCUAGGAGCAGGCGACUCCAAUGCGAGACGGUCCAGAUCGGCAACGACACCCAGUAGAAACGGCGUUGUGGGGGUUUUACGACGUUGUUAGAUAAGCCAGGAGGUGGCCUGGGGUUGAUUAGCAUCACCAAAGGCUAUGUGAAGGGAUGCUUUUACACCUACCUCAACAUGAGGGACUGGGGGAGAACAGAAUACAACUAGAGUAUCUGCCGAUUUGGGAACAUUAUUGCAUGCAGUGAAAAACACAAUCAUAAGAUUCUAAACAACAGAGAUGUGUAGAUGACAUUGAUUUAAGGUGUUAAGAAGAACAUACAGUCGUUCUAUCAAUGAAACAACUCACAAAUUGAUUAGAAUGUUUUUAGGAAAACACUAGAUGUUAGAGUUUAGCUACUCAAGUGGCAUUUUAGGGAUAACAGCAGACGAUGGCCAACGCAGGAAGAUCCAACAUGACUUUUCUUCCUGGAACGAAUGUGCAAUGACAUUGCUCUUCUCAUACACUGACACAAGGACUGAUGAGACACACAGAUGAUACAAUUACUCCACAUUAAAAGAAAUAGCUAAAACUGGGAAAUAAGUGGGUGAAAUGUUGAGUUCCAGUUAUGUUUAAAUAUGCACACACUAGAUGGUAGAACUUGUUUGCUUGAAGAGUUUGGUAAACCAGAAGAAAGAGCAACAGGAAUUGGGAGAACACACACACACUCACACUCACACGCAUACACUCACACGCACAUCUAGACACACCUACACACACCCACACACAUAGCUGCACCACUUGUGCUUCUCUAUUCAACAGCCGAUUGGGGAAUCUUGUCCUAAUGGGACCUCCGGUUAGCAGAGUAGUCUGCUCACAGGAACUGAGGUGAUUCGAGGUCCAAGGAGGGAGCGUGAAGCUUAAUCACACGUCUAGGAUGACAGCUACGUGUCAUCUGACCAAACCGCUGACAACAACAGAUGUUCCAACAGAGGAACAUCAAGGAGGAGAAGUAUAGGCACACACAUACAACGAAGAAAUCCACAAACACUGAGCUAAUGUGACACACAAUUUCCAGAUUAGAGAAGGAACGGGAACUGCUGGGACACUUGAUAAACACAUAUGAUAAGAAUGUUCAGGAUGCAAACAUACGCCAACGAUAUUACAGUAACAGAAUUUGAGGAUUUUGAGUUCAGAGCGUCUAUUCGGUUGCAAUGACCAAUCAUCACCAAGAUAAAACUAAGUAGCAUUAGACACAUUCACUGGGAACAUUUGGACAGAAGGAGGGGAGAGAAGUCCACCAUUUCAUAGAAUUGUGCCUAUUCAGAUAACUACAGCAUUGUCUCGGUUGAAAGGCAUAUAUCAUAGUAAGAAUUGAAAGUAAGAAUUGUUUUUAGGAGGCUAGAAGUUCUUGUAUGUGUUGUUUCUAUUUCACUCCAAACAGAGCUGAGAUCAUUAUUCAAUGCAGGUGGAUCCACACGACAACAAGUGGAGAGAUGGUGUCCAUUUAUGGAGGGAGAGUAAAAUAUGAAGGGCAAGGUCUCAACCAUUGACCCACUGGUUAUGUUCUCCUCCUCAACAUGUGUUUUCAACUUGAAGCAUCACUGUGGCACCGCCACAUAUAGAGCAGUUAUUCUGUUUGUUGAUGUCAUCCCUCCAGAAACAAACAGGGAUGUGAGCAUCACUUGAAAGACACAUCCAGAGCUGCCCCUGGGGGUGGGGUGAAUAUAUGUCCUAUAGUGUUUUUUUCUUUAGUUUCAGAUACCCUGUCCCUAUAUAAUGUGUUGAUACGUGUUGAACUCUAAGCGACUGAGACCAGAUUCACUAAGAGAUCCAGGGGGACAUCUUCAGGAGGGUUACCAACAGCAGCCAUGUGGGAGAAAGAUUGAAUAAGGAAUUAUGUGUUACUAACUACACUGAUUCCUCCGGGGAAACUCACGGUUUACCAAUGACACUGAUGCGGUUAACAGUAGACACAGUUACUGGUAGUUAAGAGCACAUCACCAGGAAUAAACACCACCAGAGAAAGCCUUAAGAAGAAAGACAGAUCUACAUUAGUCUGAAGGUCACAUAAAUAAGCGAAAAGGAUGCUAAGAAGGUGCCAAGGAGGGUGCCAGAUGAUGUUGAAUUCCAGAAUCAGAUCACAGCUGAAUUUGUGGACAAUAAUAAAAUGUUGAUAGGAUGAAACUGCAUUUAAUGACAGACAGGUGCUACAAAUGAAGACCUGCAUGAGUCAUUGGAUGAAAUGAGACUCAUGGCCUAGAAUAAUAAAGUGGCUUUAGACAUGAUGUUAGCUGGAAACGGUAACUUCUGCAAAAUGUUUGGAUCUGUUUGUUGUGCGAUCAUCUCCAACAACACAGCUCCUGGUGGCUUGGUGGCCAGAGCACAAGCCCCACUGACAGCUCGAACCAGCAGCUGACAGACAACUAAGGCGACGACAAUCCUCUCACCAACGGGUUUGUCAGUAUUAUAGCACAACGGAAAAGUGCAUUCCUGUCUGCGUUAACCCUUCUUAUGUUACAGUCAUGAUCUAGUCCACUACGGAUGAAGCUGCAUCUCCUGCAUCCUUGGAUUCCUGCAGGGAUUGACCGAUAUUGUGUUUAGUGAGACUAGUAUACAGGGAAAUCUGUAGCGAGUAGAUGAUGAGGGACAAUCACUGUUGACGGAUGUGACUGUAUGAUAAUUUUUCUGUCUUUGAGGGAUGCUCACAGUGAACUGUGAGCAAGGAGGGAAUUGUUAGGGAUUUAAGCCAGAAGUGCACCCCUAGUCAGGAAAUUAUAGUACGUGUAAUAAUGUUUAGUGAUAGAAUUAUAGUUUGUGUGAUGUUAGAUUAGUUAUUACAUUAACAUGUUAGAUGAAGUGAAUACAAUGUGAAUCAAACACAGUAUAUAGUCUUUUAAAACGUAGAAACACACUACACAUUUACAUUCUGUUACAAUGUGAUGUUAAAACCUGGGGACGGAUGCCAAUUGCCGUUCUUUAUGGAUUUCUCCCAAUUUUAUCCCCAAAAAGGGUUUUUUGGGAGUUUUUUCUCCUGUCAGGUAAUAAAUGAACAACUUAUUUCAAGGCAGCCGACUGAGGCAAAUGUCUUGAGAAUUGAACCACAUGAACUGUUUUAGAUCUUAUGAUGAAGUGUGAUGAACGGUGAUCAUUAGUGAUGGGUUGUUGUAAUGAAAGUGUACUAUUAUAAGAUGAAGACUUAAACGAUGUAUGCUUUGUUGGGUUCACUCAUUGAGGCAUAAAGCCACUUUAUCUGUAUUGAGUGCAUUGGAAUGUGAGGGACAGCUAGGUCAGAGAGGUUUCAGGUUACGGCUGCAGCUUCACACCUCGACGUGGAAGGGACAAUGGAGGAGGUGACCCUUUGGAGAAGAGGCCAAUGACAUUCAAAUGCACCAAAGAAGACACACCUCAAGAGGUUUCAAAGGACCAUGGCGGGGAAAAGACUGUUAGAU
ensembl:lncRNA